GUGAAUCAUCAAAUUUUUGAACGCAAAUUGCACUCUCCGGUUUUCCGGGAGAGUAUGCCUGUUUGAGGGUCUGUUUAAAAAAUAAUCGAGGCUGCUGCUGUGGUGGCCCUCCGGAUUUGGGCCAUCUUCCACCUUUCGGGGUUGUAAGCGCCCUAAAUUUUUUCUUCCGUUUUUUACGAACGUGUCUAA
rnacentral:misc_RNA from 1 species